UCCGGGGUAGCUCAGUUGGCAGAGCAACGGACUGUUAAUCCGUUUGUCGAGGGUUCGAGCCCCUCCCCCGGAG
rnacentral:tRNA from 1 species